rnacentral:rRNA from 1 species
UCUUGCCUACGGGGCGCAGCAGUGGGGAAUAUUGCACAAUGGGGGAAACCCUGAUGCAGCGACGCCGCGUGAGUGAAGAAGCAUUUCGGUAUGUAAAGCUCUAUCAGCAGGAACGAGACAAGACGGUACAUGACUAAGAAGCCCCGGCUAACUACGUGCCAGCAGCCGCGGUAAUACGUAGGGGGCAAGCGUUAUCCGGAAUCACUGGGUGUAAAGGGAGAGAAGACGGCUGUGCAAGACUGAAGUGAAAGGCGGG